AAAAGGUUUGGUCACCUCUUGUUUUUUAGUUUUUCAUUUGUUGAAUUGUGUUUUGUUGGUAUAACAAAACAACUAUCAAACACCUUUGAUUAUAAAAAAAAAAUUUAAUGAGUGGGAAGUCGUGUAUUUAUGUUGACAGAUUUGAUGAUGCAAUAGCAGCGGCUCAAAGAGCAGCACGGCUGGACUCAAGCAACAAGGAAGUGAACAUGGUGGUUAGGAGGACACGGGCGGUGGCAAUGGCUCGAUCCAACGGUAACGAUUUGUUCAGGGGAUAAAGAUACUCAGAGGCUUGUGUUGCAUAUGGAGAGGGACUCGACCAUGACCCCUACAACUCGGUGGUGUUGUGCAACAGAGCUACUUGCAGGUCCAAACUUAGUCAAUUUGAGAAAGCAAUCAAGGACUGGAUUGCUGCCCUUAAUGUGCGCCCAUCUUACAAGAAAGCCAGAUUAAGAAGAGUCAAUUGCUAUGCCAAGGUUACGACAAGCAAGACAAAGAUCUACAUUGUGCUCGAGUAUGUUGGUGAGGGCGAGCUUUUUGACAAAAUAGCCAAACUAGGAAGACUUAAAGAGGAUGAAGCUAGGAGAUAUUUUCAGUAGCUCAUCAAUGCUGUAGACUACUGCCAUAGUAGAGGCAUGUACCAUAGAGACUUAAAGCCCGAGAAUCUACUUCUAGACUCAUUUGGUGUUCUCAAGGUUUCAGACUUUGGAUUGAGUGCAUUUUCCCAGCAAGCGCGGGUAAAUAUUAUGUGAGUUUGCAACAAUUUCCUCAUCUAAGAGCAGAUUUUUAGCAGGUGGGUGUUAAUAAAUUGAACGUUAAAUUUUUAAAAAUGGUUGCAGCACUGAGUCAAUUUUGCAGUCUGUUUGGUUUACUAAAAUCACCUAGUCCAGAAACUACCUUUCUGGCCAGGAGCAGUGCCUUGCUCUGAAAGGAAUUCAACAGGAAUAAUGUGGCCAUUAGUUUUUCUUUUGUCAUUCAGUGGCUUGUUCAUUUCUUGUUUCUAUUAAUUUGGAAAUGGACUUUUUUUUUAUGAUUUGUGUCUUUCCUUUCCCUCUUUUUAUAUUAGUUUCCCCAAAUCAAGGAGGCAAUUUAGUUUUAUUAGUUGACUUCUUCAUAAGAUUCUGUAUUAUGCAUCAUCUAGAUUUCGACACUUUGAAAACAUUCAGUGACCAUUUUUUAAGACUUGAUCUAAUCCACAUUGAGGUUAUAUGAUCUCAAUAUCAUUCAGACACAUAAGUUAUGGAUUGCCUUAAACCUAAUCCUCAUUCAUCAAU